CAGUAGCCGCGGGAAUACGGAGGGGGCUAGCGUUGUUCGGAAUUACUGGGCGUAAAGCGCACGUAGGCGGCUUGGUAAGUUAGAGGUGAAAGCCCGGAGCUCAACUCCGGAAUUGCCUUUAAGACUGCCGAGCUAGCAGGUGAGAGAGGUAAGUGGAAUUCCGAGUGUAGAGGUGAAAUUCGUAGAUAUUCGGAAGAACACCAGUGGCGAAGGCGGCUUACUGGCUCAUACUGGACGCUGAGGUGCGAAAGCGUGGGGAGCAAACAGGAUUAGAUACCCGUGUAGUCCCUGUCUCUUAUAC
rnacentral:rRNA from 1 species